rnacentral:lncRNA from 1 species
UGUUGGAGAAUAGAAUUUAGUUAAAAAUCACUGGUUUUCCAACUUUUUUCUUUUCUUUUUUUUUUUAGUUGAAAUAACAAUACUUCUGCUCGUUGCCGCCCAGUUUGACAAAUGAAAUCUCACAUCAAAUCCGCAGAUGUGGAGAAGGGACUUGCAGACGCAGUGGGAAACAUCUCUGUACCCUUCAAGAAUCAGCAUUUCAAAGAUCGUUUCAAGACUGUGCAGAUUUGGAACUCUACAAUAGCACUGGGUCUGUCUGUCAGUUGGUGACACCAGCCUGGAGCAGCCCAGAUAAGAGCCCUCAAGGGAUGUUCCUGGCACUGGAGGAGGGGACCUGAGGCCAAGGAAGCAGAUACUGGAUGAACUUCAAGGGCACAGCAAGUUUGGCUAGGGGUCGGGUGUGCGAAUGAAAAUUUUUUAGAACACUGUAGCAUUUGUGAUUUAGUUUCUGUUCAUUAAAACCACCUUCUUCAGGGCA